CCUACGGGGGGCAGCAGUGAGGAAUUUUCGGCAAUGGGGGCAACCCUGACCGAGCAACGCCGCGUGCAGGAAGACGGUUUUCGGAUCGUAAACUGCUUUUCUCUGGGAAGAGAAUGGACGGUACCAGAGGAAUCAGCCCCGGCUAACUACGUGCCAGCAGCCGCGGUAAUACGUAGGGGGCGAGCGUUGUCCGGAUUUAUUGGGCGUAAAGGGCCCGCAGGCGGUCGGAUAAGUUUAGGGUUACAGCUCCUGGCUUAACUGGGAGAGCGCCUUGAAGACUGUUCGACUUGAGGACUUCAGAGGGACACAGAAUUCCGGGUGUAGUGGUGAAAUGCGUAGAUAUCCGGAGGAAUACCAAAGGCGAAGGCAGUGUCCUGGGGAGUACCUGACGCUGAGGGGCGAAAGCUAGGGGAGCGAACGGGAUUAGAUACCCUGGUAGUC
rnacentral:rRNA from 1 species